CGAUGGAUAGGGGUUCUGAGAGGAAGGUCCCCCACAUUGGAACUGAGACACGGUCCAAACUCCUACGGGAGGCAGCAGUGAGGAAUAUUGGUCAAUGGGCGAGAGCCUGAACCAGCCAAGUAGCGUGAAGGAUGACUGCCCUAUGGGUUGUAAACUUCUUUUAUAUGGGAAUAAAGUUGUCCACGUGUGGAUUUUUGUAUGUACCAUAUGAAUAAGGAUCGGCUAACUCCGUGCCAGCAGCCGCGGUAAUACGGAGGAUCCGAGCGUUAUCCGGAUUUAUUGGGUUUAAAGGGAGCGUAGAUGGAUGUUUAAGUCAGUUGUGAAAGUUUGCGGCUCAACCGUAAAAUUGCAGUUGAUACUGGAUAUCUUGAGUGCAGUUGAGGCAGGCGGAAUUCGUGGUGUAGCGGUGAAAUGCUUAGAUAUCACGAAGAACUCCGAUUGCGAAGGCAGCCUGCUAAGCUGCAACUGACAUUGAGGCUCGAAAGUGUGGGUAUCAAACAGGAUUAGAUACCCUGGUAGUCCACACGGUAAACGAUGAAUACUCGCUGUUUGCGAUAUACUGCAAGCGGCCAAGCGAAAGCGUUAAGUAUUCCACCUGGGGAGUACGCCGGCAACGGUGAAACUCAAAGGAAUUGACGGGGGCCCGCACAAGCGGAGGAACAUGUGGUUUAAUUCGAUGAUACGCGAGGAACCUUACCCGGGCUUAAAUUGCAGAUGAAUUACGGUGAAAGCCGUAAGCCGCAAGGCAUCUGUGAAGGUGCUGCAUGGUUGUCGUCAGCUCGUGCCGUGAGGUGUCGGCUUAAGUGCCAUAACGAGCGCAACCCUUGUUGUCAGUUACUAACAGGUUCCGCUGAGGACUCUGACAAGACUGCCAUCGUAAGAUGUGAGGAAGGUGGGGAUGACGUCAAAUCAGCACGGCCCUUACGUCCGGGGCUACACACGUGUUACAAUGGGGGGUACAGAGGGCCGCUACCACGCGAGUGGAUGCCAAUCCCCAAAACCUCUCUCAGUUCGGACUGGAGUCUGCAACCCGACUCCACGAAGCUGGAUUCGCUAGUAAUCGCGCAUCAGCCACGGCGCGGUGAAUACGUUCCCGGGCCUUGUACACACCGCCCGUCAAGCCAUGGGAGCCGGGGGUACCUGAAGUGCGUAACCGCGAGGAGCGCCCUAGGGUAAAACUGGUGACUGGGGCUAAGUCGUAACAAGGUAGCCGUACCGGAAGGUGCGGCUG
rnacentral:rRNA from 1 species